AGUGAACGCUGGCGGUAGGCCUAACACAUGCAAGUCGAACGGCAGCACAGUAAGAGCUUGCUCUUACGGGUGGCGAGUGGCGGACGGGUGAGGAAUACAUCGGAAUCUACUUUUUCGUGGGGGAUAACGUAGGGAAACUUACGCUAAUACCGCAUACGACCUACGGGUGAAAGCAGGGGAUCUUCGGACCUUGCGCGAUUGAAUGAGCCGAUGUCGGAUUAGCUAGUUGGCGGGGUGAGGGCCCACCAAGGCGACGAUCCGUAGCUGGUCUGAGAGGAUGAUCAGCCACACUGGAACUGAGACACGGUCCAGACUCCUACGGGAGGCAGCAGUGGGGAAUAUUGGACAAUGGGCGCAAGCCUGAUCCAGCCAUACCGCGUGGGUGAAGAAGGCCUUCGGGUUGUAAAGCCCUUUUGUUGGGAAAGAAAAGUAGCAGGUUAAUACCCCGCUGUUCUGACGGUACCCAAAGAAUAAGCACCGGCUAACUUCGUG
rnacentral:rRNA from 1 species